GACGAACGCUGGCGGCGUGCUUAACACAUGCAAGUCGAACGGUAAGGCCCUUCGGGGUACACGAGUGGCGAACGGGUGAGUAACACGUGGGUGAUCUGCCCUGCACUUCGGGAUAAGCCUGGGAAACUGGGUCUAAUACCGGAUAGGACCACUGCCUGCAUGGGUGGUGGUGGAAAGCUUUUGCGGUGUGGGAUGGGCCCGCUGCCUAUCAGCUUGUUGGUCGGGUGAUGGCCUACCAAGGCGACGACGGGUAGCCGGCCUGAGAGGGUGACCGGCCACACUGGGACUGAGAUACGGCCCAGACUCCUACGGGAGGCAGCAGUGGGGAAUAUUGCACAAUGGGCGCAAGCCUGAUGCAGCGACGCCGCGUGAGGGAUGACGGCCUUCGGGUUGUAAACCUCUUUCAGCACCGACGAAGCGCAAGUGACGGUAGGUGCAGAAGAAGGACCGGCCAAUUACGUGCCAGCAGCCGCGGUAA
rnacentral:rRNA from 1 species